rnacentral:rRNA from 1 species
UUCGGGGGAUUAGUAGAGUGGCGUCCGGGUGAGUAACACGUAGGUAAUCUACCUUCGGGUGGGGAAUAACCCAGGGAAACUUGGGCUAAUACCGCAUAAUGCAGCGGCACCACAUGGUGACAGUUGUUAAAGCGGGGGAUCUUCGGAUCUCGCGCCUGAAGAGGAGCCUGCGGCAGAUUAGCUUGUUGGUAGGGUAACGGCUUACCAAGGCGACGAUCUGUAGCCGGCCUGAGAGGGCGGUCGGCCACACUGACACUGACAUACGGGUCAGACUCCUACGGGAGGCAGCAGUCGGGAAUUUUGGGCAAUGGGCGAAAGCCUGACCCAGCAACGCCGCGUGAAGGAUGAAAUCCCUCGGGAUGUAAACUUCGCAAGAAUGGGAAGAAUUAGUAGGGGCUAAUACCCUCUAUGAUGACGGUACCAUUUGUAAGCUCCGGCUAACUCCGUGCCAGCAGCCGCGGUAAUACGGGGGGAGCAAGCGUUGUUCGGAUUUACUGGGCGUAAAGGGCGCGUAGGCGGCCAGCGCAAGUCAGUUGUGAAAUCUCCGGGCUUAACUCGGAAAGGUCAACUGAUACUGCGCGGCUAGAGUGCAGAAGGGGCAACUGGAAUUCUCGGUGUAGCGGUGAAAUGCGUAGAUAUCGAGAGGAACACCUGCGGCGAAGGCGGGUUGCUGGGCUGACACUGACGCUGAUGCGCGAAAGCCAGGGGAGCGAACGGGAUUAGAUACCCCGGUAGUCCUGGCCUUAAACGAUGGAUGCUUGGUGUCUGGAGUUUUAUAGUCUCCGGGUGCCGUA